UACGGAGGGUGCAAGCGUUAAUCGGAAUUACUGGGCGUAAAGCGCGCGUAGGCGGUUUUUUAAGUCGGAUGUGAAAGCCCCGGGCUCAACCUGGGAACUGCAUCCGAUACUGGAAGACUAGAAUGCGGGAGAGGGAGGUAGAAUUCCAUGUGUAGCAGUGAAAUGCGUAGAUAUAUGGAGGAAUACCAGUGGCGAAGGCGGCCUCCUGGCUUGACAUUGACGCUGAGGUGCGAAAGCGUGGGGAGCAAACGGG
rnacentral:rRNA from 1 species